AAUGCCCCUUGAGGCGUUGCGGUACGACUUGUGUCGCUGCUGUGUCAAAAGGUGGCAUAGAGUAUGAGGCUAUGUUUACGCCUAGUACCCACCAAUAGAAUGGGUUCUUAGUGUGUCUAUAUAGCCGUACAGU
ensembl:snoRNA Small nucleolar RNA SNORA17